rnacentral:sRNA from 1 species
AGGGCAGAAACUCAUGGCAGGAACCUGAAAGCAGGAACUGGAGCCAAAACCAUGGAGGGGUGCUGCCUCCUGGCUUCCUCGCCAUGUCUUGCCCAGCCUGCUCUAGUUCAUCUAAAGAAGCAAGUGUGGUAGAAAUUUUUUUAAACAUUGAAAAUAAAGAAAUGAUGGAAGAUUUGGCCUACUAAAUAUUACAUUUCAUAAGAAAGUAGAAAUAGAAAAAGAGCAGACAGCACUGCUGUAAGGAGUGUUGGCUAAGGGAAUGAAGUCAAUAGAUCUAAAACACAUUAGAUGUCUGUGAGGACGUGCGGCCACUGAGGAAGUAUCAUUUGUCAAUGAGGAAGAAAUGGCUUAUUAAAUGUAAUUUUGAAGAAAUCACAAAUUAUUACAAAGGUCAAGUUCCUCAAAUUAAAGUAAACAUCACAAUCGCUUUCAGGUAGAUGAAGGAAUCGUGUGUAAAACAGAAAAAAAAAAGGUAGAAGUGCUUUCUGGGUAAAAAUUUUAAAGUUCCCCAUAAAGAUUACUACUCCGUAUUAAAUGGAGUAAAAAAAAUUAAAUUUUUUAAGUUUGUGCAUAAAAAUAGGCUAAAACACUAUCUCAUAAAGAGCAUAUUUGCAAACAUUAUCUCGCAAGAGUAUAUUUGCAAAUUACACGGUAGUCAGGGCCUAUUAUUCUCUUACUUGUUUUUUCCUGUUUGCUUUGCAUCAACAAACACAUCCUAAUUUCCUGCCAAUACUGUGUAAGAAUUGGAGGGCCAUGGCAGCUUCCAUUGCUACAGUGAUACCUGGGAUACUUUUGUCAGUCCUAGAGGAAAUGUGUCCUCUGUUACCCUCCAGUUGUUGGAUUUAGAAAGGCUGGAUUUAAGAACCCACUAGCUAUUCUUGCUGGUGUCCUUGGGUGAGAAACUUGCGUGGUCCUAUUUGGGGACUCAUCUGCUUUGUCACUGCCUAGGAAGUAAAGAGAUCAAUUGAAUGAUUAAUUACAGUGCAGUAAUGUGUGCUGGCUAGUUUUAGGCCUCGACAAGUUAGGAUCACUUGAAAAAAGGCCUCCACUAUAUUGGCUUGGGGGCAAGUCUCUGGUACAUGUUCUUAAUCAAUAUGAUUGAUCUGGGAGAUUGGUGUGUAUGAGAAAUAAACUCUACUGACAAGAGGGUUGGGGUGGGGGAGGAUUACAAGGAGAUGUUCCUGUUUCAGUUUGAUUUUGUGAGCCUGGACCUCAUGUAGUCCCAGCUAGCUCCAGAUCACUUUACUCCUGCUUUGGCCUCUUGAAUGCUGGGACUACAGAGUCAUCACCACACCAGCAUAGGCAUAUUUAGAGGUGACAGAAACCUUCUAAACUUUACUAUGGCAGUGGCUGAGCGGACAUGUGGAUGUACUGAAAACCGCUGAUGCGCGAAGUGGGUGAGUGGGAUGUGUCCCAGUUUGCUUUCUGUUACUGUGAAAAACAUCCGGGCCCAAAGUAACCUGGGGAGGAAAGGGUUUAUUUGGCAUACAGGUUACAGUCCACUACCUAGGGAAGUCAACACUGGAGCUCAAGGUAGGAACCUGGGUGUAGGAAGUGAAACAGGGGCUAUGGAAAAUUGCUGCUUACUGGUUCUCCUCAUGGCUUGCUUGGGCUUCUUUUUUAUCCAGCCCAGGGCCAUCUUUCCAUGGAUGGCCCCACCCAGUGUGAGCUGAGCCCUCCCACAUCACUUAGCAGCCAAUACAAUAGCCCCACAGACGUGCCCAUACUCUUACUAGGUGGUCAGCACAGUGUGGUUUGUGAACUGUAUGUCAAUAAAACUAUUUUUAAAGAUGCAUGUAUGAUAAAAAUGAACGUGUGAAACAGCACAAAAGGAGAAAGGACGUAGCAAAAACUUCCUAAUCGUUAACCAGCACCAUGAAAUAAACUAGAAUGGUGCUUUCAGCUUUAAACUGCUAAAACGAGACAUGAAGGUAGGUAAUCAGCUGGAAAAGAAAUCUACUGGGACACAGACUCUCAGAGGUUUCAGUCCAUGGUUGUUAUAAUCUCUGAUUCUGCAAACAUAGCUACAGAAAAAACUGCAACCUUCAUGAAGUCUGGAGAUAAAAAGAGAAAGGAAGGGCUGAGUCCCCAGUAUCCCUUCAAGAGUGCACCCCCAAUAACCUUACUUCCUUCUACAAAGACCUCCGUCCUAAUGCUGGGACCCUUUACAUGUUGUGAUAACCCCCACAUUGUUACAUCAUAACUGUAACAUUUUGCUACUGUUAUGAAUUGUAAUGUAAAUAUCUGAUACUCAAGAUAUCUGAUAUGUGAACUCUGUGAAAUGGUCCUUCAAAUACCAAAGGGGUCAUGACCCCCAGGUUGAAAACUGCUGUUCUAAAAGUAACAGCUAGAUAGAGUAACAGCUCGAUGGAGACCUUCCUUCCAAACAAGAACCUUUGGGAUACAUGUAAGAGCCAAGCCUUGAUAGACAAUGUGUACAUGAUACUGUAUAAUGUGACUUGAGGGCAUAAGAUACUGUUAUUUGUGUUCAACUAAAUUGUUUCUGCAACACAUUUAACUACUAAUUUUAUAGUUAAAAGAAGAUACAUAGUAGAAAAAUGUUAAGCUCUGUUUUUUUUUUAAUCAAGAAAACAUUUAACAGUAUGAUUUUCAAAGAAAAACUCAGGUCCUAUAAGUGAAAAUAUUUAUGUUCCUUGACUUUCUCUUUUAUUUACUUCCUCUUUAAAACACAAGUAAUAUAUUCAUGGUGUGCACUUCCUGUGGUAAUCCACAGCUAUUUACAAUUUUAAUUUCUCAUGUCACUCAUUCCUAGGGUGGGAGCUGAGUGAUAGUCAUCUUUGAAAAGCCUUUCUCCUUGCAAUCUGAACUUGAAAAUCAAAGGGAUGAUUCAGUCAUCACUGCCAUAAACAUUAAGCAAGUUAUCUUUGAGCGGCUGAAUUACUUGGACUGGAGAAACACUAUAAAUAUUUCUAAUACAUCCUUGAAGUCACAACGGUAGAUUUUUUUUUUCCAGGCAGACCUUCCUCUCAAAGCAUAGUGUCAGCAAUACAAAUACAGUGUUGGCCGUUAUGCUUGGAUGGGAAGGUGUCCUGGAACUCUGAAGCCCCAGCACCACUCAACUCUAAGGACGUGGUAAAGCCUAGGAUGGGGCAGAAGGAGAAGCGUGAGUUAGUGGAGUGACGCAAGCUGCCGUCAGAGUAACAGGAAAACUUCCACAGUAGCAAAAGGAGAAGACAAUCCAAAACUCCACUAGGGACACAACAGCCGUUGCUCCUUCUAUGGUAAACUCAGAUCGGCACAUCAGGCUUUGGAAGAGGUGUCCCUCCAUCACAGAAACCACCAAAGUGCCAGUCACUUCUCAGGAAGGGAGCCAACUGCCCAUCUUCACUCCUCUUUUAUCUAUCAGACUCCACACUGCUGAAUAGGUGUUCCGGGUAGGUAACUGGCAUCUCACGGGAGGGGCUUAUGGAGACGUGACUUAAAGGUUCUUCAUGCUGACACUACCUCUGUGUCAUUCCCUUCCACCAAAUAGAGAUUGAGGGAAGAACUCAUUCCAGACGUGAGGGGAGCCAUGGAUCAAAGCCUUGUGUGAGAGAGUGCAAACAAGCAUGUGUUUACUCAGGCAGUCCAAAAUCAAAAGAUGAUUCCCACUCACCCAUCAUCCAUCGUCCAUCUAAAUGCAAAAGGUGGAGUGCCACAUGUCCUCCUGGAAAGAUCCCAGGGUCAAGAACAACCUUCAUUUAAAAAUAGUCUGGGACUUCUUAAACUGUAUCCCUCAACACUCUAGUUUGUAGCUUGCAGCUGGAUAUUUAUGUUGGAAACCAAACAACUAUCAUCCCAUAUAGGUUUUGCUUGCUAGGAAACUAUAAAAUCCUAAGACAGAAAAACACGAAGUCAUGUACAUCGUUGUUUUUAACAGAGCAAGAUGUAGUAUGAUUGCAUCAGAAUGUUCAGGAAAACGCAUUCACUGUGUGCUGAGCACCUCCCACGUGCUAAAUAAAUACUUGUUGACUGAAUGUUUGGUGUUUUGCUUUAUGGGAAGAAAGUGCCUUUCAGUGAGGACAGUGUGUGCACUUGAAAUUUCAGGAGCUUGAAGAAACAGUUCAAUGCCAAGAUAUUUUGAAAUGGCAGUAUCAGACACAUUGCUCGUGCCUUGGCUACUGAUAAAGCACACAGCAAAGGCAGUGAAAGGCCUAGGUCUCUGGAGAACACUCAACUUCUGAUAAGUUUGUUUUUGUGAAUGCAGGUAAAGAUAAAAAGCGGCAGAACUAGUUUAUUCUGCUCCUUUGGCCCAGAAGUAGGGGUUUUAAUAGACUUUUGUUUUGCUACAGGACUCUUUUCAUGGGGGAUAGAACCAAACGGUAGAGUGUCUUCCCUGCCAUGUGCAAGGCCCUGAGUUCUAUCUCCACCAAGGCACUGUAAAAAAUAAAAUGAAAUAUUAUUACAUGAAAAUAAUGCCUGGUAAGUUUUGGCACAAGCUCUCAUGCUAACAUUUACAGUUGCAUGUGAUCAAGGACAGGAAGGGACAGUUUCCCUUUAGGAUUGCUACAGAAAUUUGUUAUGGUAUGGUUAAAGGGCCUGUUAAAAUAUCGAUAUCAAAUAAAUGAUAAUUGCUGUUACAAUUGUUUAAAAUGAUUUCGAGAUGUUUAAGAGGACAAAAUGUAGGACAGUCAUAACAUAAAAAUGUAUGUUACUGCACAAAUACUCACACACUUACAUAUUCACACCCACACAAAGACAUAGUCAUACUCCAAACUCACACACAUAUUCACACAC